GAUGAACGCUGGCGGCGUGCCUAAUACAUGCAAGUCGAGCGAACAGACGAGGAGCUUGCUCCUCUGACGUUAGCGGCGGACGGGUGAGUAACACGUGGAUAACCUACCUAUAAGACUGGGAUAAAUUCGGGAAACCGGAGCUAAUACCGGAUAAUAUAUUGAACCGCAUGGUUCAAUAGUGAAAGACGGUUUUGCUGUCACUUAUAGAUGGAUCCGCGCCGCAUUAGCUAAUUGGUAAGGUAACGGCUUACCAAGGCAACGAUGCGUAGCCGACCUGAGAGGGUGAUCGGCCACACUGGAACUGAGACACGGUCCAGACUCCUACGGGAGGCAGCAGUAGGGAAUCUUCCGCAAUGGGCGAAAGCCUGACGGAGCAACGCCGCGUGAGUGAUGAAGGUCUUCGGAUCGUAAAACUCUGUUAUUAGGGAAGAACAAAUGUGUAAGUAACUAUGCACGUCUUGACGGUACCUAAUCAGAAAGCCACGGCUAACUACGUG
rnacentral:rRNA from 1 species